GAGGCGCACCCAGAGCGUACACGUUGGGACCCGAAAGAUGGUGAACUAUGCCUGGUCAGGACGAAGACAGGGGAAACCCUGUUGGAGGUCCGUAGCGAUUCUGACGUGCAAAUCGAUCGUCGGAACUGGGUAUAGGGGCGAAAGACUAAUCGAACCAUCUAGUAGCUGGUU
rnacentral:rRNA from 1 species